rnacentral:rRNA from 1 species
GAUGAACGCUGGCGGCGUGCCUAAUACAUGCAAGUCGAGCGAACGGACGAGAAGCUUGCUUCUCUGAUGUUAGCGGCGGACGGGUAAGUAACACGUGGAUAACCUACCUAUAAGACUGGGAUAACUUCGGGAAACCGGAGCUAAUACCGGAUAAUAUUUUGAACCGCAUGGUUCAAAAGUGAAAGACGGUCUUGCUGUCACUUAUAGAUGGAUCCGCGCUGCAUUAGCUAGUUGGUAAGGUAACGGCUUACCAAGGCAACGAUGCAUAGCCGACCUGAGAGGGUGAUCGGCCACCCUGGAACUGGGACACGGUCCAGACUCCUACGGGAGGCAGCAGUAGGGAAUCUUCCGCAAUGGGCGAAAGCCUGACGGAGCAACGCCGCGUGAGUGAUGAAGGUCUUCGGAUCGUAAAACUCUGUUAUUAGGGAAGAACAUAUGUGUAAGUAACUGUGCACAUCUUGACGGUACCUAAUCAGAAAGCCACGGCUAACUACGUG